rnacentral:rRNA from 1 species
AAACCAAAAGACUGGCGACCGGCGGCACGGGUGAGUAACACGUAUCCAACCUGCCUCAUACUCGGGGAUAGCCUUUCGAAAGAAAGAUUAAUAUCCGAUAGCAUAUAUUUCCCGCAUGGGUUUUAUAUUAAAGAAAUUCGGUAUGAGAUGGGGAUGCGUUCCAUUAGUUUGUUGGGGGGGUAACGGCCCACCAAGACUACGAUGGAUAGGGGUUCUGAGAGGAAGGUCCCCCACAUUGGAACUGAGACACGGUCCAA